CCUACGGGUGGCAGCAGUGGGGGAUAUUGCACAAUGGGGGGAACCCUGAUGCAGCGACGCCGCGUGGGUGAAGAAGCGCCUCGGCGCGUAAAGCCCUGUCAGCAGGGAAGAAAAUGACGGUACCUGAAGAAGAAGCCCAGGCUAACUCCGUGCCAGCAGCCGCGGUAAUACGUAGGGGGCAAGCGUUCUCCGGAUUUACUGGGUGUAAGGGGGGCGCAGACGGCGUUGCAAGCCAGGAGUGAAAGCACGGGGCACAACCCCGGGACUGCGCUUGGAACUGCGUGGCUGGAGUGGAGGGGGGGCAGGCGGAAUUCGUGUGGGAGCGGUGAAAGGUGUGGAUCUCAGGAGCAAAACCGGUGGCGAAGGCGGCAAGAUGGAUUGCAACUGACGUGGAGGUCCGAAAGCGUGGGGAGCAAACAGGAUGAGAUACCCGGGUAGUC
rnacentral:rRNA from 1 species